AUGCAGGCUCAUAUGCUUCGUCAAGAUCAGUUGUUCCAUGCCAUGCAACAAAACCAAGCUGAGACUUUACGUCUCGUACAAGAAGUACAACGUGACCAACUAGAGUUGCAACGCCACCAACAAGAGAUGCGACGCGAACAACAUGAAUAUGCCUUUCGCCAUGAUCGUAACCUCGAAUCUUUGCAAGCUCGCAUAGCAGACGCACUUCAUCUUAAUGAUUCUGAUUCUGACGUACGACGAAGACCUCGUACUAGAGGACGAAGAACAAGAGAUCAUGAUUCUCAAAGCAAUGAGUGA